UCCCAGGUGGCUUAGUGGUAAAGAAACUGCCUGCCAAGCAGGAGAUGUGGGUACAGUUUCUGUGUUGGGAA
rnacentral:tRNA from 1 species